rnacentral:lncRNA from 1 species
UUUUUACAACAGUAAACCAUAUUUCACCAAGUAAAAGCAUCCUAAUUACAAACCAUGACCGUACAUGCACACACCAUUUAACAAGAAUAAUAAGCAGGCGGUUAGUUUCAUCUACCAUCAUGGCCUAAGUGGACAAAUUUCACACAGCUCCAUUUACUAAAUUCAAUCCAAAUCAUUUCUAAACGCACCAUGACUCAUUCAAACCAAAGCCAUUGCGUCAUUUCACGGACCUUUGAUUACAAUGUUUGAAACGAAAUGCAAAAUUCAAACCAACACAUUCACGUUUCAAAGCUGCUACAACCUUGGGCAAUCCCCGAAAUUACAGCGGAUUCUCAUUUGUUACAUCCAAUUUUCAAAUUCACAAAAUAGAACCUUCAUGACAAUACAACACACAAAAAGCUAACACAAAUAAUCCUAAAUCUAGCAACUUUGCCGCCUACCAAAUUCAGAGUUACUAAUCCUAACCAUGGCCAUGCUCAACA